AGUUGGUCCCAGUGCAGUGGUGUUUACAACUAAUUGAUCACAACCAGUUACAGAUUCCUUUGUUCCUUCUCCACUCCCACUGCUCCACUCGACCAGCCUUUA
ensembl:misc_RNA Y_RNA Y RNA